AGUGAACGCUGGCGGUAGGCCUAACACAUGCAAGUCGAACGGCAGCACAGUAAGAGCUUGCUCUUACGGGUGGCGAGUGGCGGACGGGUGAGGAAUACAUCGGAAUCUACUUUUUCGUGGGGGAUAACGUAGGGAAACUUACGCUAAUACCGCAUACGACCUACGGGUGAAAGCAGGGGAUCUUCGGACCUUGCGCGAUUGAAUGAGCCGAUGUCGGAUUAGCUAGUUGGCGGGGUAAAGGCCCACCAAGGCGACGAUCCGUAGCUGGUCUGAGAGGAUGAUCAGCCACACUGGAACUGAGACACGGUCCAGACUCCUACGGGAGGCAGCAGUGGGGAAUAUUGGACAAUGGGCGCAAGCCUGAUCCAGGCAUACCGCGUGGGUGACGAAGGCCUUCGGGUUGUAAAGCCCUUUUGUUGGGAAAGAAAAGCAGCAGGUUAAUACCCCGCUGUUCUGACGGUACCCAAAGAAUAAGCACCGGCUAACUUCGUG
rnacentral:rRNA from 1 species